rnacentral:rRNA from 1 species
GACGAACGCUGGCGGCGUGCUUAACACAUGCAAGUCGAGCGAUGAAGUCUCUUCGGAGACGGAUUAGCGGCGGACGGGUGAGUAACACGUGGGUAACCUGCCUCAUAGAGGGGAAUAGCCUUCCGAAAGGAAGAUUAAUACCGCAUAAGAUUGUAGUUUCGCAUGAAACAGCAAUUAAAGGAGUAAUCCGCUAUGAGAUGGACCCGCGUCGCAUUAGCUAGUUGGUGAGGUAAGGGCUCACCAAGGCGACGAUGCGUAGCCGACCUGAGAGGGUAAACGGCCACAUUGGGACUGAGACACGGCCCAGACUCCUACGGGAGGCAGCGGUGGGGAAUAUUGCACAAUGGGGGAAACCCUGAUGCAGAAACGCCGCGUGAGUGAUGACGGUCUUCGGAUUGUAAAGCUCUGUCUUUAGGGACGAUAAUGACGGUACCUAAGGAGGAAGCCACGGCUAACUACGUGCCAGCCGCCGCUGUAACAC